AUGGAGGCGGAGGGUGCCCAGGGUCCCCGGGAGCGCCGCGGCGAGGCCCUGGCUCAGAGGCCGGAGCAGAACCAUGUGCAGUCGCAGCCUGGGACCAACGGACUUCCCAAACACUCCUACUGGCUGGACCUCUGGCUCUUCAUCCUUUUCGACCUGGUGUUGUUUUUCUUCGUGUAUCUUAUCCCCUGGUGCAGAACUGUCAUCACUGUGAAGAGUCAAGCUUGGUCUCUCAGAAUUUUCUUUAUUAAGCCGUUCAGAAAAUUUAUGUGGAUUCUCAUAUUGUCUAAAGCUAUUUGGGGCAGGAGGUGA
rnacentral:lncRNA from 1 species